rnacentral:misc_RNA from 1 species
AAGUCGUAACAAGGUUUCCGUAGGUGAACCUGCGGAAGGAUCAUUAUUGAAUUCCAACUGGGUGAGAUUGCUGCUGGCUUUUUGAGCAUGUGCACAUCUCAUUCAUUUACCUAUCACCUCUGUGCACUUUUCACAGGACAACUGGUGGCUGUUGGCUUUAUUGUCUCUGGCUUCAAGCUGUUUUGUGUGCUUUACAAACUUGAAAAUCAGUCUAGAAUGUUUACUGUGUAUCUACACAUUUAAAUACAACUUUCAGCAACGGAUCUCUUGGCUCUC